CUUUUAUGGAGAGUUUGAUCCUGGCUCAGGAUGAACGCUGGCGGCGUGCCUAAUACAUGCAAGUCGAGCGAAUGAUGAGGAGCUUGCUCCUCUGAUUUAGCGGCGGACGGGUGAGUAACACGUGGGUAAUCUGCCUGUAAGACGGGGAUAACUCCGGGAAACCGGGGCUAAUACCGGAUAAUAAGAAGAAGCGCAUGUUUCUUCUUUGAAAGUCGGUUUCGGCUGACACUUACAGAUGAGCCCGCGGCGCAUUAGCUAGUUGGUGAGGUAACGGCUCACCAAGGCGACGAUGCGUAGCCGACCUGAGAGGGUGAUCGGCCACA
rnacentral:rRNA from 1 species